UACGAAGGGGGCUAGCGUUGCUCGGAAUCACUGGGCGUAAAGGGUGCGUAGGCGGGUCUUUAAGUCAGGGGUGAAAUCCUGGAGCUCAACUCCAGAACUGCCUUUGAUACUGAGGAUCUUGAGUACGGGAGAGGUGAGUGGAACUGCGAGUGUAGAGGUGAAAUUCGUAGAUAUUCGCAAGAACACCAGUGGCGAAGGCGGCUCACUGGCCCGUUACUGACGCUGAGGCGCGAAAGCGUGGGGAGCAAACGGG
rnacentral:rRNA from 1 species